UACGAAGGGGGCUAGCGUUGUUCGGAAUUACUGGGCGUAAAGGGCGCGUAGGCGGUGUGUCAAGUCAGGCGUGAAAGCCCCGGGCUCAACCUGGGAAUGGCGAUGAAGACUGCAAGGCUAGAGUUUGGCAGAGGGGGGGGUAGAAUUCCACGUGUAGCAGUGAAAUGCGUAGAGAUGUGGAGGAACACCGAUGGCGAAGGCAGCCCCCUGGGUCAAGAUUGACGCUCAUGCACGAAAGCGUGGGGAGCAAACAGG
rnacentral:rRNA from 1 species